AUACGGAGGGUGCAAGCGUUAUCCGGAAUCAUUGGGUUUAAAGGGUCCGUAGGCGGGCAAUUAAGUCAGAGGUGAAAUCCCACAGCUCAACUGUGGAACUGCCUUUGAUACUGGUUGUCUUGAGUUAUAGUGAAGUAGAUAGAAUGUGUAGUGUAGCGGUGAAAUGCAUAGAUAUUACACAGAAUACCGAUUGCGAAGGCAGUCUACUACGUAUAUACAGACGCUAAGGGACGAAAGCGUGGGGAGCGAACAGGAUUAGAAACCCGAGUAGUCC
rnacentral:rRNA from 1 species